UACGUAGGGGGCAAGCGUUGUCCGGAUUUAUUGGGCGUAAAGAGCGUGUAGGCGGCUUGGAAGGUCAGCUGUGAAAACUCGAGGCUCAACCUCGAGACGUCGGUUGAAACCACCUGGCUAGAGUCCGGAAGAGGAGAGUGGAAUUCCCGGUGUAGCGGUGAAAUGCGCAGAUAUCGGGAAGAACACCCGUGGCGAAGGCGGCUCUCUGGGACGGUACUGACGCGUGAGACGCGAAAGCGUGGGGAGCGAACAGG
rnacentral:rRNA from 1 species